UUCCCACAGGGGCAGCAUGUGCGCGGGCUGCCGCCGCCGGCCGGGCGGCUUAUGUGCGAGCCGGCUGGCCCGCCCGCCCGCGACCCCAGGCCCUGAGCACAAGGGGGCUCGGGGAGGGGAGGACGAGGCCGGCCUCGGCCGCCAAGAGACAAGUUGCCGAGGAAUACCGGUGCCGGGAGGCAGGCGCUGCGGUUCGGAAAGGGAACGAGAGGUGCUCUUGUUCUUUGCUCUCUUUACUAAGCAUUGAAAACGCUUGGGAAUAAGAUGAGGAGGACUACGAGGCUGCUGUGCCCUGUUGCUUGCGUCUCGGAAAGAGCCCCCGAAAGUCCAAGGCUCCUUCAAGAGCCACCGCCGGGCCCAUGUGAGACCCUGGGUAGAAGCAAGAGCCCCCCGGGGUCCCGCGUGCUGUCCCGCCUUCCCCUGCCUGCUCCCUUCCGCCUUGGAAAACUCGGAGUUUGGUACCCCGACCCUACACGUACAGACUGCGUACCAGCUGGUCUAACAAAAGAGAAUUGGACCAAAAGGAAUCUCAUGAGGUUCAAGGACAAAGGCAAAGUCCUGCACUGAAAACAGAAUCCCAUGCACUGCUACAGCCUUGGGACUGACUGGCUAAGCAGCAGCUCUGUAGACACAGACCUGGAGGAAUAGUGGACAAUAAGAUAAAUGAGGCAAGUGUGCUCGUGUUGUGAAAAAGACUAACAGCAUACUGGGCUGCAUUAGUAGGAACGUUACCAGCACGGGGGGGAGGAGUAAUUAUUUCCUUCUAUUCUGCACUGGCGAGGCCACAUCUGGAGUAGCGUCCAGUUUUGGGCCCCCUAUAGAAUGUGGACAAGUUGAAGAGUGCAGCAGAGGACAACAAAAAUGAUGAGGGUACUGGUGCACAUGACUUCUGUGGAGAGGCUGAGGGAAGAAUUUGAUAGCAGCCUUUAAUUAUCUAAAGGGGGGUUCCAGAGGAUGAAGCUACUGUUCUCAGUGGUGACAGAUAACAGAAGGAGUAAUGGUCUUAGGUUGCAGCAAGGGAUGUUUAGGUUGACUAUUAUGAAAAACUCAUAUUAAGAGGGUGGUGAAGCACUGGAAAGGCUUACCAAGGGGUGGUAGAAUCUCUGACAUUGGAGGUUUUUAAGGCCUGGCUAGACAAAGCCUUGGCUGUGAUGAUCUUGUUAGGGAUGGUCCUGCUUUGAACAAGGGACUCUAGCUGACCUCCUGAGUUCCUUUCCAACCCUAAUUUGCUGAUUUAUCACUCAAUAUACUUGGUGCUCAUUAAGGUGAACAAGCUAGAUCAAAGACCAUAAUGAACUUUUAUCUAUACAUGAGCCAGAAGAAAAAUGUGUGUCCCAGUAUGAACAUGUCUCCUCCUGAUCUACACUUAUUCAACAGGCAAUCUUGUCCUGAUAAAAGUCAGCAUACCACUUUUAACUAUAAAAUAUAACUGCUAAGUUCUGCAGCUAUCUGUCACUCAGCUGGAUCCAGAUUUGGCUUAACUGAGCAUGUUGAAACUUAGGUCCACAUUUUAUUUCAGCAAGAGGUUAAGGCAAGAGAGGGUACAUGCAUCUUUUCAUGUAUUUUUAGUUUAUAUUCCUUUGGAUAAUUGCCAACAGAAUGUCCAUGUAAUACUGGUUUUCCAUUAUCAGCUAACUUAAAGGAGCAGUGUCUACGAACCAAACUAUUUGUACUAACUGUUUUCCUUUAUAUAAAUAUUUCCAUGUGACCACUUUAGUAGAAGGGUUCGUAGUUCCUCUUCUGCAGAAAUUGUAAGGGCUGCUGCAGACCACUUGCUACAGAGCUACCUCCCCACAUCCUUUUCUCAUUAAUUUCCUGGUACUGCUGACAUCUGCUUUUGUUACUUAAAAUAAGUAAAUCUGAGCAUCUUCCAUUUUAUGCAACAUGCUAAUAAACCACUAAACCAGAAAUGAA